rnacentral:rRNA from 1 species
UACGUAGGGGGCAAGCGUUAUCCGGAUUUACUGGGUGUAAAGGGAGCGUAGACGGCGAUGCAAGCCAGAUGUGAAAGCCCGGGGCUCAACCCCGGGACUGCAUUUGGAACUGUAUAGCUAGAGUGUCGGAGAGGCAGGCGGAAUUCCUAGUGUAGCGGUGAAAUGCGUAGAUAUUAGGAGGAACACCAGUGGCGAAGGCGGCCUGCUGGACGGUGACUGACGUUGAGGCUCGAAAGCGUGGGGAGCAAACAGG